rnacentral:rRNA from 1 species
CCUACGGGAGGCUGCCGUGGGGGAUAUUGCACAAUGGGGGGAACCCUGAUGCAGCGACGCCGCGUGGGUGAAGAAGCGCCUCGGCGCGUAAAGCCCUGUCAGCAGGGAAGAAAAUGACGGUACCUGAAGAAGAAGCCCCGGCUAACUACGUGCCAGCAGCCGCGGUAAUACGUAGGGGGCAAGCGUUAUCCGGAUUUACUGGGUGUAAAGGGGGCGCAGACGGCGAUGCAAGCCAGGAGUGAAAGCCCGGGGCACAACCCCGGGACGGCUCUUGGAACUGCGUGGCUGGAGUGGCUGAGGGGCAGGCGGAAUUCCUGGUGUAGCGGUGAAAUGCGUAGAUAUCAGGAGGAACACCGGUGGCGAAGGCGGCCUGCUGGACUGCAACUGACGUUGAGGCCCGAAAGCGUGGGGAGCAAACAGGAUUAGAUACCCCUGUAGUC